CUGAAUGUAAUGAAAGAUUAUUAUAAUGCAGCAGAAUGGGCCAAACAUCAGCAAUCCUGUCAGCUUACAGGAAGUGCUUGUUGCAAGCUGAUUUCCCAAGAGGCGUUUUACAGGGAGACAAAGACGAACUGACACAUCUGUCCCUGACUGCUGCUUCUGUGGGCGUGUGUUUUCUGGUGUAUUUCUGAGAUGGAAGACAAUUGUCAAAGAAUAAAAGCUGACCUCACUGGGACAAUUCAUAUAGGUGGAAGGGACAAAAAACUUGUGGCUGCAGAUGAGGAGGGAACAGUGUGUGAAAGGGGGAAGUGCUGUCACCACAAUAUCAUCUCCUCCCCUUCUAACCUAUCAAAAGUGUCUCUCAAGCCCGGAUCCCAUGACUUCACACUUGCAGAUACCUGUGCCCAUGUGGAGUCUCACUGAAGUCAGUGGGGUUCUGCAUGGUGCAGGGGUCCUCCAGGUGCAACCUCAUGCAGGAUCAGGGCCAAAGUCAAGUUGCAGCUCCGUUGUAGAAAUGCAUCUUCCAAAGGCAGUCACUGGAGUGAGGACCUGCUGCAGGAACUGAUGCUGCCCAGAAGGUGGCCAAUACUGAGGCACGUGGCCUGCAGGCAGAUGACUGUGGACUCUUGCAGAUCUUCUUAGAUGUUCUUUAGCGUGAACUGCUUGCCCGUUCUCCAGCAUGGAGGUGGGGCAAACGACUCCUCUGGAAGAAUGAAGAGGACUCACAGAAUGUAUUGUGCCAUGUGGGCCACAAACCCACACAGUGGAUGAUCUGCCCUGUGUCUACCCUGCUGGUAAAAGUAAAUUUGCAUGGUCGUUCAUACUUGAGCCCUCACAAAAACCUAAAUGGUGACCUCCAACACAGCUGUAUCAACAGCUUGGCACAGCUGACUGUCACACAGUCCAUUCAUGUGGAAAGUUAUUCUGCCUUCACCUUGAUGAGGUCACUGGUAAGGUUUUGUGUAACAGAGCGAGUUGGAUGCAGUUGUGGAAUUUUAGUAUUUGUCAGAAAUUGCAGCAACUGCCUUAUGGAGUGUGUUCUCAACAAUGCACUAGGUGAUAUGAAGGUGACAAGGAAUGCUGGAGUCUUUUCCCGUAGCUUCCUAUUUUCAUGCUUUCGAGGUUUAAGUGCUGUCCCUGAACAGGGAUGGAUUUUAGCAUGUGCUUUAGUGCUUUCUUGAAUUGCCACUGAUACCAGGAUAGGAGAUCAGGCCCAUUGGUCCUUUCAUGGAAAGAUGAGGCUCUGGGGUCCAAUCCUCCAAUCUUUGAUCAUAUGAUAAGUCCCAUUCACUUCAAAGUGACUAUGCACAUCAGUGUUGCAGGAUCUGUCCUACAUAAAGUAGAGCUGGUAAAGCAGGUCAGAUAAAACAAGGACUGCCUUGAAGGGGCUCUCAAAAUGUAAAGGGUAUGUUUAUGUUUCAAGAACUACCCAAAUCUUGGCCCAGAACACAAACCAGUUUUUAAAUGUUCAGUUUACCCCACACCCCCACUCUUCUACAUUUUCAUUUCCUGGUUUUGUCUGGGCUCAGAAAUGGAAAAAGUAAAAUAUAGAGAGGCUGCCACCCCGGCUGAUUUCUUGACCAAAGUGGUCUGGAUAAGUAGCUGAGUUUUUGGUUGCUUAUUGAAACCAAACUGUCAAAGCUUUGAGGUUCUCCUGCAUAUAGGAAGGUGGUAGCCAAAACCAGGGCUACCUGCAGAAUCUGACACUGCUCUAGUUUUAAUCCUUGUCCAAGUCACCUUCCUAGUAGCCUUUUGUGGACACCUGUAGAUUAUGAAUUGAUCAGCUAAACAGAACCACCCCAAUGUUAGUAUUUAUUUUGGUUACAGAAGGUGCAAAAAUGUUUCUCCCAUAAAUAAAUACUAUAGGGCUUGUGUACACUGCCCAACAGUUCAGACGACCGACCUAUGAACAGCUGUGUGCACUAAAAUGCUUCCCGGUAACUCCUCUUGUGUUGAUGCAGCAGGCACAAAUGAAAAGGGGUCUAGUUUGUGUUAAUGUAGUGCUCUUCAAACAGGUCUGCAUUAAUGUGAAGUAGAAACCUUUUAGUUCAUUUUUUCAAGUGACCGUGCAGCACUUUCGUGCACAAUACUAUUCACAGCCCCUGUAGUCCAAAUGUUGGUGCGGUGUAGAUGUAGCUUACUUGAAGACAUUGGAAUGUAGGUGAAUAACAAAAGGAUGCUGAUAUCUGACAGU